CCAAAUACUUUUCUAAGCAUAUUGCAGCAUCUUGAUCUUAGUCAUGUGGGCUCACCUAAUAGUUAUUGCCCACACUUCUUAGCUAAGUCCGACCCACCGUUCAUAAGCAGGUGCAAGCUGUCAUUGGAUCCCUCACCUAAUAGUAGUUGGGUCCAACCCCAUCCUUACCCUAGAGCAACUCUUUGCUAAUAGAGUGGUUACAUGUUCUCGAUGCAACUGGACCACUAUAACCAAUCGAGAACAAUCAACGUCGGUAGCACGCCCGCAUAUCUACAACGAUGGAA
rnacentral:lncRNA from 1 species